CCUACGGGAGGCAGCAGUGGGGGAUAUUGCACAAUGGGGGAAACCCUGAUGCAGCGAUGCCGCGUGAAUGAGGACGGCCCUCGGGUUGUAAAGUUCUGUCGCAGGGGGCGCAAAUGACGGUACCCUGCAAGAAAGCUCCGGCUAACUACGUGCCAGCAGCCGCGGUAAUACGUAGGGAGCGAGGGUUGUCCGGAAUUAUUGGGUGUAAAGGGAGCGUAGGCGGGAGGAUAAGUUGAAGGUGAAAUCUUGGGGCUCAACCCAUAGCAGCGUUUAAAACUGUUCUUCUUGAGUGAACUAGAGGUAUGCGGAAUUCGUGGUGUAGCGGUGAAAUGCAUAGAUAUUAGGAGGAACACCAGUGGCGAAGGCGGCCUGCCGGGCUUUUACUGACGCUGAGGCUCGAAAGCGUGGGUAGCGAACAGGAUUAGAUACCCGUGUAGUC
rnacentral:rRNA from 1 species